rnacentral:rRNA from 1 species
ACAAGUAGUCAGAGCCCGUUAAUGGGUGAUGGCGUGCCUUUUGUAGAAUGAACCGGCGAGUUACGAUUUGAUGCAAGGUUAAGCAGUAAAUGUGGAGCCGUAGCGAAAGCGAGUCUGAAUAGGGCGUUUAGUAUUUGGUCGUAGACCCGAAACCAGGUGAUCUACCCUUGGUCAGGUUGAAGUUCAGGUAACACUGAAUGGAGGACCGAACCGACUUACGUUGAAAAGUGAGCGGAUGAACUGAGGGUAGCGGAGAAAUUCCAAUCGAACCUGGAGAUAGCUGGUUCUCUCCGAAAUAGCUUUAGGGCUAGCCUCAAGUGAUGAUUAUUGGAGGUAGAGCACUGUUUGGACGAGGGGCCCCUCUCGGGUUACCGAAUUCAGACAAACUCCGAAUGCCAAUUAAUUUAACUUGGGAGUCAGAACAUGGGUGAUAAGGUCCGUGUUCGAAAGGGAAACAGCCCAGACCACCAGCUAAGGUCCCAAAAUAUAUGUUAAGUGGAAAAGGAUGUGGCGUUGCCCAGACAACUAGGAUGUUGGCUUAGAAGCAGCCAUCAUUUAAAGAGUGCGUAAUAGCUCACUAGUCGAGUGACACUGCGCCGAAAAUGUACCGGGGCUAAACAUAUUACCGAAGCUGUGGAUUGUCCUUUGGACAAUGGUAGGAGAGCGUUCUAAGGGCGUUGAAGCAUGAUCGUAAGGACAUGUGGAGCGCUUAGAAGUGAGAAUGCCGGUGUGAGUAGCGAAAGACGGGUGAGAAUCCCGUCCACCGAUUGAC